rnacentral:lncRNA from 1 species
GGGCCCCACCCAGCCUGGCUGAGGGGCGGUGGAGAGUGUCCGCCUGGACGGUGAGGUCAGCUGGCGGCUGCUGGCCACCCUCGUGCUCGAAAGAUGCCCCUAGCGCCCCCUCCGUUGCAUCAGGACCCUAGGCCAGCCUGUCCCAGUGUCUCCUCAGCUCACCAUGGCAGGCUCAAUGGUGACCCCCCUUUUAUAUAGGAGGAAACUGAGGCCUGGCGAAAGAAAGAUGCGGCCUGAGGUGGGACGUGAACCCGCGGCCCUGCAGCCCAGACAGCGGCCCCGGAGUGACCACCAGCUUCACCGAAGCCCCUUUACUGUGCCCCCGAGGACACCUGCCUGCCGUUCCCCAGGGCCGUCACCGCCGAUAGCGGUAGCGCUUGAAGUGAAACCACAGCUGGAAGAUGCCGUUGGCAAACUGGCAGCGGAAGCCGUGGCGGUGCGAGUAUUCCCACUCGCGGUUGACGAUCUUGAAAGCGAUGUCCUCGUAGGGCGGCCCCGCGUGGAAGCGCAGGAUGGCGAAAUCCUUGUUGUCGGCGCAGGCCUCCAGGAAGUACUCGGGCGUGGAGCGCUUGUCGAUGAGGUCGGGGUAGAAGAUGUUGAACUUGUAUCCCUGCACGAUCUUGGGCGGUGGGUUGUCAAAGUCGUAGUGCGUCUGGUUGUACUUGUUCCACUCGAAGCCCGUGUGCACGCGGUUGAAGAAGCGCGGCUUGCGUGGCCGGUACUUGUCGGCCCACAGGUAGGCCUUGCCGGUGAGUGGCAUCUCCACGCUGAACUGCGCCUCGUCCUGGCCCAUGCCCUCCUUGGCCCGCCGGAAGAAGAUGUCCUCGGCGCUCUCGCUGGCGUCUCCCGUGACCUGGAGCUGCUGGCGCGAGAGCUGCAGGCGCUGCAGGUCCUCAUCCGGUUCCAGCACGUGCGCGUCCAGUGGCAGCUCGUGCGCCGUGAGCAGCCGCGGGCUGUACCUGCCGGCGUCGUAGUCGUCCAGGCUCUGCUGGAUCAGGUCCUCCUCCAUGAGCACCGCCUCGCCCUCGCCCUCGCCCUCACCGUCCCCGUCGCCGUCGCCCUCUGUCGGGGUCGCGCCGUCCACCUCGGCCUCCGCGGGGCCGCCCUCCGAGGAGGGCCCGGGCGGGGUGGGCGCCGCGUCCUCAGGCUCCAGGCUGCGGCUGGGGGACUGGGGCUCCUGCUUGAGGAUGGGGAACAGCGGCUCGCUCUCCACGCCCUGCUCCUGCUUCAGUUUGUACAGCUUCUGCCGCAGCACGUCCUGGUGGCGCUCACGCAGCCUAGUGCUCACCGGGCCCGUGCCAUGUGGGCACGAAGCUGCUGCAGGAGGCUCUCCCAGUAGCCCAUGUCCAGGUUGGGGCCACCAGCGCGGAUUUUGCCCUCGAUGCCCUGGAAGAUGACCUGCAGCUGGUUGUAUGUCUUCCCCUUGAACACCGACUGCACAUCAGAGCUGACGGAGGCGUUGACCCCCUCGCGGCGCUCACCUGGCCCCUUGCCCGAGGCCUCCAGCUUGCGGAGCUUGGAGAUCUCGUCCUCGGUGAUGGUGGUCAUGUCCCGCCAGAAGUCGGCGUUCUUGCCCUGCUCCAGCUCCAUGUAGACCUGGAUAUCCUCCAGCAGGUCCUCCAUGUCGGCCACGGUGAGGCCGUUGAGGAACGUGUAGGGCUCAUGCAUCUCCACGGCCAGAUCGUCAUCCUCAGCGCUGAUGUACUUG